GUACUGCGCGCUGAGCAAGCAGGAGGGGUGCCGGCUGUGCGCGCCGCUGCGCAAGUGCCGCCCGGGCUUCGGCGUGGCCAGACCAGACCUCUCCUAGGGCUCUAGUGCCAAGGCCCAGCUGUCCCGCAGAGUGUCUGAGUGGUUGACAAGUUCGGAUUGUUCCCUGAAGGAACUGAAACAUCAGACGUGGUGUGCAAGCCCUGUGCCCCGGGGACGUUCUCCAACACGACUUCAUCCACGGAUAUUUGCAGGCCCCACCAGAUCUGUAACGUGGUGGCCAUCCCUGGGAAUGCAAGCAUGGAUGCAGUCUGCACGUCCACGUCCCCCACCCGGAGUAUGGCCCCAGGGGCAGUACACUUACCCCAGCCAGUGUCCACACGAUCCCAACACACGCAGCCAACUCCAGAAC
rnacentral:lncRNA from 1 species